rnacentral:rRNA from 1 species
ACGAAGUCUGAUGGAGCAACGCCGCGUGAGUGAAGAAGGUUUUCGGAUCGUAAAACUCUGUUGUAAGGGAAGAACAAGUACGUGAGUAACUGCACGUACCUUGACGGUACCUUAUUAGAAAGCCACGGCUAACUACGUGCCAGCAGCCGCGGUAAUACGUAGGUGGCAAGCGUUGUCCGGAAUUAUUGGGCGUAAAGCGCGCGCAGGCGGUCCUUUAAGUCUGAUGUGAAAGCCCACGGCUCAACCGUGGAGGGUCAUUGGAAACUGGGGGACUUGAGUGCAGGAGAGGUUAGUGGAAUUCCAAGUGUAGCGGUGAAAUGCGUAGAGAUUUGGAGGAACACCAGUGGCGAAGGCGACUAACUGGCCUGUAACUGACGCUGAGGCGCGAAAGCGUGGGGAGCAAACAGGAUUAGAUACCCUGGUAGUCCACGCCGUAAACGAUGAGUGCUAAGUGUUAGGGGGUUUCCGCCCCUUAGUGCUGCAGUAAACGCAUUAAGCACUCCGCCUGGGGAGUACGGUCGCAAGACUGAAACUCAAAGGAAUUGACGGGGGCCCGCACAAGCGGUGGAGCAUGUGGUUUAAUUCAAAGCAACGCGAAGAACCUUACCAGGUCUUGACAUCCCGUUGACCACUGUAGAGAUAUGGUUUUCCCUUCGGGGACAACGGUGACAGGUGGUGCAUGGUUGUCGUCAGCUCGUGUCGUGAGAUGUUGGGUUAAUUCCCGCAACGAGCGCUACCCUUAACUUAGUUGCCCGCAUUCAAUUGACACUCUAAGGUGACUGCCGAUGACAAACCGAAGAAGGUCGGAAAUGAUCCCAACCAUCAUGACCCUUA